AUAUAAACAAUGUCGCACGAGCUUAAGAAUCAUAUGAGUCAAGGGGGCACGAGAUGUGGAUGGCGUAGCAACUGGACAGGACACUGAUGGUUAUGUACACAUUAAUAGGGGCUGACAAUGGAGGUAGACCUGUAAUUUUGGUUUGGUGUAGAUAGGUGAGGUCAAUCAAUGGAGGCUGCAAUCUUUUCUUUUUAUAUGGUAUGCCCCCUGGUGUUAUUAGGAUAGCCUUGCAAGAGGUGGACUCAGCUGAGUCCUAGGACAACUUGGAAUGAACUGAGAGAGUGGAGUGAACUUUCUGGCUUGUUUGGUCAUUUCUUGUUCAUAGAGCUUGUACUUUUGUCUAUUGCAGCACAACGCCUAAAAUGGAGAGGGAGAGAAGGAGCUACAGCAGGCAUCCUGUGAAGCUUUUCUCUACUAAUAUGAAUGAAAAUCAAAGAAAAUGAUCUGUAACGCCAUUCUACGGAUCCAAUUCCCCUUCAACUCCAGUGGUCAAUGACUGUUGCAGUAGGUCGCUCCACGAGGACAACUGCUGCAGUGGGCUGGUUCCCCCAAGCACCACUGGAUAGGCUAGCCCUCCUCGAAGACUUUCCAACCUCUUUCACUCAGUUGACAUGACAUUCGGGCCGAGCAAUAAAGGAUUGUUCAUAUGUA